UGGGGAAUAUUGGACAAUGGGCGCAAGCCUGAUCCAGCAAUGCCGCGUGGAUGAAGAAGGUUUUCGGAUUGUAAAGUCCUUUCGGCGGGGACGAUGAUGACGGUACCCGCAGAAGAAGCCCCGGCUAACUUCGUGCCAGCAGCCGCGGUAAUACGAAGGGGGCUAGCGUUGCUCGGAAUGACUGGGCGUAAAGGGCGCGUAGGCGGACUGGUCAGUCAGACGUGAAAUUCCUGGGCUCAACCUGGGGGCUGCGUUUGAGACGGCUGGUCUAGAGUUUGGAAGAGGGUCGUGGAAUUCCCAGUGUAGAGGUGAAAUUCGUAGAUAUUGGGAAGAACACCGGUGGCGAAGGCGGCGACCUGGUCCUUGACUGACGCUGAGGCGCGAAAGCGUGGGGAGCAAACA
rnacentral:rRNA from 1 species